rnacentral:rRNA from 1 species
AGUGAACGCUGGCGGUAGGCCUAACACAUGCAAGUCGAACGGCAGCACAGUAAGAGCUUGCUCUUACGGGUGGCGAGUGGCGGACGGGUGAGGAAUACAUCGGAAUCUACUUUUUCGUGGGGGAUAACGUAGGGAAACUUACGCUAAUACCGCAUCCGACCUACGGGUGAAAGCAGGGGAUCUUCGGACCUUGCGCGAUUGAAUGAGCCGAUGUCGGAUUAGCUAGUUGGCGGGGUAAAGGCCCACCAAGGCGACGAUCCGUAGCUGGUCUGAGAGGAUGAUCAGCCACACUGGAACUGAGACACGGUCCAGACUCCUACGGGAGGCAGCAGUGGGGAAUAUUGGACAAUGGGCGCAAGCCUGAUCCAGCCAUACCGCGUGGGUGAAGAAGGCCUUCGGGUUGUAAAGCCCUUUUGUUGGGAAAGAAAAGCAGCAGGUUAAUACCCCGCUGUUCCGACGGUACCCAAAGAAUAAGCACCGGCUAACUUCGUG